rnacentral:rRNA from 1 species
AGACAGGUGCUGCAUGGCUGUCGUCAGCUCGUGUUGUGAAAUGUUGGGUUAAGUCCCGCAACGAGCGCAACCCUUAUCCUUGUUUGCCAGCGAGUCAUGUCGGGAACUCCAGGGAGACUGCCGGUGAUAAACCGGAGGAAGGUGGGGACGACGUCAAGUCAUCAUGGCCCUUACGAGUAGGGCUACACACGUGCUACAAUGGCGCAUACAGAGGGCAGCAAGCUAGCGAUAGUGAGCGAAUCCCAAAAAGUGCGUCGUAGUCCGGAUUGGAGUCUGCAACUCGACUCCAUGAAGUCGGAAUCGCUAGUAAUCGUAGAUCAGAAUGCUACGGUGAAUACGUUCCCGGGCCUUGUACACACCGCCCGUCACACCAUGGGAGUGGGCUGCAAAAGAAGUGGGUAGUUUAACCUUUCGGGGAGGACGCUCACCACUUUGUGGUUCAUGACUGGGGUGAAGUCGUAACAAGGUAGCGCUAGGGGAACCUGGCGCUGGAUCACCUCCUUAUACGAAGAU